UACAGAGGUCUCAAGCGUUGUUCGGAUUCAUUGGGCGUAAAGGGUGCGUAGGCGGCGCGGUAAGUCGGGUGUGAAAUCUCGGGGCUUAACUCCGAAACUGCAUUCGAUACUGCCGUGCUUGAGGACUGGAGAGGAGACUGGAAUUUACGGUGUAGCGGUGAAAUGCGUAGAUAUCGUAAGGGAAGACCAGUGGCGAAGGCGGGUCUCCUGGACAGU
rnacentral:rRNA from 1 species